CAGCAGCCCCAACGUCCUGAAAGUUUCAGGGUGGAGAGUGUCGGGUGGAGGCCUUGGGUGCGAGAGAAUACGAUGGCUGAAGUGUGUCUCCGGGGCAGCGCAUCUUACACUUCCAUGUUGGGGAUCGGAUCGGGGCUUUUUCUCGCAUUCUCAUUUGAUCCACUCAGUUGUAUUUACUGAACGUUCACUUAGCGCCCGUCUGUCCCCCUAGGCCGUAAGCUCCUUGAGAGCAGGGAUCAAGCCUACUGAUUCUAUCGAAUUCCCCCCGAAGGGAGUACGACACUCCGCACACAGCGGGCCCUAAAUCGAUACCAUUCAUUGAUCCAUCAGAACGGACACAGUCGCUGCCCCUCACAGGGCUCACUGUGUAAGAGGGAGGGAGAGCAGGGAUCUUGCCCCGAAUUUACAGUGUUUGGGAGAGUACGAUUCGUCGGAGCUGGCAGACGUUCCCCGAGGCCCCACCGUCUCCUAGAGGAAGGCAGGUCUCAUCGACCUUCUCUGCAGCCCGCUCCCAGUGGGAACGGCUCUCGGACCUUCUAAUUAGAUUGUUAAACGUAACAGCCGAAUCACCCGCCGGGGAAGAAUUUGCCCUCCUCUUUGUGAGCGCCGAACUGGCUCAGAAAAGACCGGGGCUUCUUCCAGCCCAUUUCCCUCCUCAUCACGGCUGAUGGCUCUCGUUCCUCCUACCUGAUGCCCCUCUGGCGGCGCCCAGCUAGAAACCGAGAAUCACGCGGCCUGGGACGUGCUUAGUACGGUGCUCUACCCACAUGAAGGGUACGGCGCAGUAGCCCGGGAAAUACGACUUUCCGACCGACUGGCACCCAGUCCAGCCCUCUGCACAUCGCAGGGGCUCACGAAAUACUUCUCAACACGGAUUCCCUCUCUAAAUCGGUGACUCGGGCGACACUCCAAGACUCCCCCCGCCCUCCGCUGCCGCUCCUGUCCGGGGAUGCCCCGAAGACAAAUCCAGGUUCCGGCCGCGUGGCGAGACGCGAGGCACGGUGCAGCUGAUUUCGCUCCUUGGAUUGCUAAGAAAAUAACCUCUGGCUCCGGGAGGGAUCCGGUUUUAUCUUCCCCGUCCGAGAGCCAGCAGCGGUGCCCGGUUGGGGGACGUCCAUCUGCCUUGACACGUGCCAUCAAUCUCCUCUCCUACUUCUUGGGACGCCAUAGCCCCGGGCCUAGCAAACAGCAGAUGUUUAAUAAAUGAUCAUCACAGCAUU